rnacentral:rRNA from 1 species
GACGAACGCUGGCGGCGUGCUUAACACAUGCAAGUCGAACGGAAAGGCCCUGCUUGCAGGGUACUCGAGUGGCGAACGGGUGAGUAACACGUGGGUGAUCUGCCCUGCACUUCGGGAUAAGCCUGGGAAACUGGGUCUAAUACCGGAUAGGAGCCAUUUUUAGUGUGAUGGUUGGAAAGUUUUUUCGGUGUAGGAUGAGCUCGCGGCCUAUCAGCUUGUUGGUGGGGUAAUGGGCUACCAAGGCGGCGACGGGUAGCCGGCCUGAGAGGGUGGACGGCCACAUUGGGACUGAGAUACGGCCCAGACGCCUACGGGAGGCAGCAGGGGGGAAUAUUGCACAAUGGGCGCAAGCCUGAUGCAGGGACGCCGCGUGGGGGAUGACGGCCUUCGGGUUGUAAACUCCUUUCGCUAGGGACGAAGCUUUUUGUGACGGUACCUAGAUAAGAGGCAGGGGCUAACUACGUG